AGCAGCCUGAAAAUGCUGACAUUUUGUUGUGAGUGAGUGUUUUAAGGUCCUACUGUGGCCCAAGGGGAUGCACCACACUUGUAGAACCAGAAACAGACCUAAAAGUAACUUCUGCACCUUCUAAUCAAAUGCUUUUCCCUUGAGAAAUGGGAGGGAGAAGGGUAUUUGGAAUCAAACAAGCUUCUCCUGUGGCUGAGCAGGAUAUAAAUGAGGUAUAGCCUCUCCUGCCAAGGGUGCAGGUGUGCUGAGGCUGUGGGCUGACCCAAGAAAAAGUUACACGUGGUUAUGCAGCAGGUCUGCACAGGUAAAUUCCUUCUACAAAGAAGCUUUUUCAAGUCAGCAUUGGUUGGUUUGGUUAUUUUUUUCUCUCCUUAUUUACAGUUGAAAUCUAGGCACAGGUUCAAAGACUUGCCUGGUGUUGAAAGGACAUGGAGCACAGCUCUGGCGAUCACUGAAAGACCUUAUCUCUUCUUGCUGUCCCCAGCAAGAAUCUCAAGCAAACCACAAAAGUUCCUCUGGUAUUUAAGGAUCCUGAAACAGCAGAUGGCAGUGGAAAGAGAUGCAAGAUUUCUUCUGACAGGUCCAAGCCUAGAGCUCUGCAGUCCCUGAACCCUAGACAUAAACAGAAGAAAAAGGAACAUCUUGUUAUAGCAAAGAGAGAGACAGAGCAGAAUUAGACAUCACAAUUUUUAACAAUGUUUAAUUUAUAAGCUGAUGAUGUUUCUAAACUGACAGAGGGGAAAUUUAGGUUAGACACCUAGAAAAAAUUCUUCACCAUGAGGGUGGUGUGGCACUGGCACAGGUUGCCCAGAGAAGCUGUGGAUGCGCCAUCCCUGAAAGCCUUCAAGGCCAGGUUGGAUGUGACUCUGAGCAAGCUGGUGUAGUGGAAGGUGUCGCUGCCCAUGGCAGGGGGAUUGGAAAAAGAUCUUUGAAGUCCUUUCCAACCCAAAACCAUUCUGGUUUGGUGACCAAGGUAACCUGUGAGUGCAGUUGCUUGCUAAGUGUGGUGCCAGUGACAGCAGAGCAUUGCAGGGCUGUGCUGUAAAGGACACAGAGCUCCCUGUGAAGGCCUCCUGGCACAGCCAGAAGAAGUUUUUAAGACCUUCGCAAGCUGCUGCUGAGUUGUCCAGCUGAGCUUUAGCCCAGCAAAUCAGGGCACCAAAACCACACCAGGGCUCCUUUAGUCAGGGUAGGGCAGGGCUCCAGGAUGAGGCCAAGUGAAAAGGCCUGGACUCAUGCCUGCAUUUACCAAGUGCUAUGCCUAUUGAAAAGAUUUUAUGUAUUGCAAAUAAAAUCCUACUUGAUGAACCCUUGGGGCAAGUGGAAAAGAAGGAAGAAAUGUUGCCUGCCUGGAAAUUAUAAAUCUGCAUGGAUAGCUUAUGUAGAAGAAAUGAAGUGAAAGACAGCAUUACUCAUACCCAAAUCACUGAGCAUGGGGAAGGCAAUACAGAAAAAGGUUUUAAGGCAUCAUAAGACUUGAAACCAGUUUUUUCUACUACAGCACAUAAUAGGGUACUGCAGUUAUCACUGGCUCUUUAAGCACUCCCUUGUGAUGAACUGGACAGAUACCCGCUCUAUCACCAGGAGUUAGAGCUGAUCCAAGUGAGACACCAGAGACUUGAUGCAGUUGGCUGUGAAACACUGCUAGAGCUUCUACAUCAUAUACCUGACAGCAUCUUGACAUGAAAUGCUUGGUCCAGCAUGAGUGAUUUUUUUUUCAGCAGACAAUUCAUUCACAUACUUGGGUAAGUGAUAGCUUUGGUGCAGGCUGAUGUGAUUAUAAUUAUAAGCUUUUACAAAAAGACUAAAGCUCAGCAUGUUUAAUUCUGAGGGUAAUAAAACUCCUGAAAAUGCACACUGGUUUUGUGAUUGAUUCCCUAUGCAUAGAAAUCCAUAAAUCAAGACUAGAUUUUAAAUUAGGCAGAACUGUCUGUGCCAUACCAUUGAAAUUAAAGCAGGGCACUCAGAUCUCCUGUGCUUUGUGCAAGAGGACUGCACACAGAGUGAGAGCAAAAAGUAUUGUUGUGUGACAGGCCCCUGUCAGCAAGAUGACAUCUUCUGGGCAGAGCUCCCCACAUGCUUGGUAGAGAGACUUUGACCAUGAGAGGAUGGUAGAGAGGCACAAAAAGCUCUCUUGCUUUCGCUCCUGUAGUCAGUCAGCCUUGCACCCUGGGCAGCUUGUUCACUUUUUGCAGGGAGCCUUUGUGUGCUCCCGUUCCUUUCACCCUCAGCAAAGCCUGGCACAGGCUGUACCCUUGCUGCUACACCUGCUGAACAAGAAGAAGGUUGCACAUCGCACUGGUUACAUGCUCCUUGGAAGGAAGAGCUGCCACUCUUUACGUACCCCUUACCUUUCCCCAGGAAGAGUUUGGUCUGUUUUCUCCAGCCAUCACUCCCAAAAGCAACACACUCCAGCCCUCCUCUCUUUCAGUAAAUAUUCACAUCCCAAGAGGUCUGAGCAUCUGAAGGAUGUUUUCUUCCCCUCCUUUUGCCUCCUACCUACCUAGAAGCAUACAGGGACUUUUCCCUAUCCAAAUGCCUCUCUGUUCUCUCACUGACUCAAAUUGCCAGCUUCCUGGGGAAGCAAGAGCAGAUGGUCCAGCCCUCAUGUCAGACAUUUACCAAGGAAGGAGCUUCAAGGUCAGUGGAAGAGGCAAAAAAAGACACAUGGUGUCUUCAAGCUUCACAGCUCGUUUCUCAGCAUCAGUGUUAGCAGGAGUCAUCUUUGAUGUGGGGCAGAGCACAGGGGAGGAAACCUGAGCCCCAGAAGAAGUCCGAGCACAAACUUUAUGUAUUUACCAAAAGAAAAAAGCCUUAAACUGGGAGAUCUUCUGCAAAAGGAUUCUAGGCCUUGAGGAAGACAGUUCACUGGGGAACUCCAGGGGAGUUGAAUGAGAAUGAAAACAGCAAGUUGAAGGCUGAACAGUAGGAAUGGCAUUAAAAAACAAAAAAUGACUAGGUCAAGGAAUAAAAGACAAGCAAAGCAUCCAACCGUCAUCCAACAUUUAUCCUACACAAAUCCAGCAUCUUGCAUGAACAAGAGUUUAACCUGCCACAGGUUUGCAAGAGGGACCCUGCUCCCAUGGGCAGCAGCUCCACAUCUGCUCUUUUUGUGCGGUCUCAGUGCUGUAAGAGCCUCGGUAUGCUCAGCCCAAGCAGAAAAUCCUCAGUAGCCAUUCAUUUGCUGGUCUAACGUCAAAUCACGUCAAUUGAACGCUUUGUACUUAAGGCAACUUUGCUUUGCAGUCCAAAUCAAAAACCAAACAAAUCCAACACUUUAGACACCAAGUGGAAAGGAUUAAACAUUUAUUUACAUACAGAUACACAUGUAAGCAAUUUCUAAGUAUAAAAAGGACAUUACAAAUAAAUGUGAAGCAUCAUACAUUCAUCAUCCUGGUCAUCCAAAACACAUUCCUUUCUCAAGCCCACUGUACCACACAUGACCACAAGAACUUAAAGAAGAGACAAGCCAAAUGCUUCUGACAGUGAAUGAUUCACAGUUUGGUGAUUUGCUAACAUCUAUACCCUCCCCAAAGACAGCACUACCCCACCAAUGAGAUCAAUUGUCUGACCAGCUGUAGUGCAUUUUCUCCACUGAAAUGGUUGUGCUUGAUCAGCAGAAACCACAGCCUCUCCUCAUCCUUCUGGCCAAAUGUUUAGGAAUGAGGGUUCUUGCUAAAAUUCUGUACAUUGUGCUAAAUUCACAAUUGUUGGGGAAAAGACAGCAGACCUUUAUGGGAAAAACUCCAACACAGAAAAUUCCUUUAAUGCUGUGACUUCCCUGGCAUGGAAAUCACAAACAAAAUGCUGCUGUUAGUGCUUAAGCAGAUUUUUAAACUACAAUUCAAACUACAGUUGAUGGUGUAAAAUAAACUUUGUUCAUGCUAUAAAAGAAAUUACGUGUUUCAAUGUUGAUUUGAUAGUAAUCAAAGCUGAGGGUAAUUCAGGUUCUCCUGAGGAAAUGAAGAUGCCUUUGUAGCAUCUCUAAAAAUUAUCAUAGCUUUCAGGAAAGAGGAAAUGUUUUAGAUUCAAAAGUCUAAAGGUAAUGCAGAGCAUGACAAACUUGUCAGUUAGAUAACAUUACAAAGGGAAACAAGCCAGUAAACAUAAAAUUAAAAUGCCUACUCAAAGUAUUAAUGAAUUCAAAUGAGAACGGGGUGAGUCUUUCUGUAUAGAUCAAAAGCAGUUUGAAAAAAAUCUCAUGAUCUGCAAAUUCACAGAACAGCCAAAUAUGUGCAGCAGAACAGAGUGAAGUGGAAAUAAAAGAACAGAAAGAGCCUUGUCCCAUAUUGACAGCUGAGUGACUACAGCUGCUCCAAUCUCAGGGUUUGGGUUUUUUUUUUCCUUUUGUAAACAGCUGUAGAGAAUAAAAUGGAUGUGACAUAUCUGCAGUGCAUCUUAUUAUGCUAAAAACUAUGGCAUAUUUUAAACUACUUCCCUAAUAUUCAGAGAUAUACUUGUCACUCCCAAUCAGCAUAGUAACAAGCACUGGGCUUGCUCCAUACUCUCAUUAGAGGGCCUUUUCUCCACUAAAAUGUUGGCUUCAGGAGUUAGUUUUCCCCCUUCAGUGCUGGCUGUGUGUGGGGGUGAGUGGUAACCCUUUCCUCCCAACAGUCUGUAAGAGCUGGGGCAAUGGCAGUGCCUGAAAUCAUAGCAGCUCUCCCCACGACAGACCAAGUAUUUUAUUCUCCCUCUAUUAAAAGGUAAAACUGGCAUUCCCUCUCCUCUGCUUGCCCUUCUGUAAAGGCUCAGCUGCUGGGACACUGUAUUCACUAAAUCUCAGUGG